rnacentral:sRNA from 1 species
GCUUGACCCAUCACCAUAUGCAAAUAGCUGAUUAAAAGUUAUUUGACAAUGACAUUUUUCUUCCCUUUUAGGGACUUCACUGUGACUUUGCUUGCCUGAUGUUCCAAUACUUAGUAAAUAAGCCUUCAGAAGAAAGGGUCAGGGAGAUCAUUGUUGAUGCUGUCAAAAUUGAGCAGGAGUUUUUAACAGAAGCCUUGCCAGUUGGCCUCAUUGGAAUGAAUUGCAUUUUGAUGAAACAGUACAUUGAGUUUGUAGCUGACAGAUUACUUGUGGAACUUGGAUUCUCAAAGGUUUUUCAGGCAGAAAAUCCUUUUGAUUUUAUGGAAAACAUUUCUUUAGAAGGAAAAACAAAUUUCUUUGAGAAACGAGUUUCAGAGUAUCAGCGUUUUGCAGUUAUGGCAGAAACCACAGAUAACGUCUUCACCUUGGAUGCAGAUUUUUAAAAAACCUCUUGUUUUAAAACUCUAUAAACUUGUCAUUGGUAAAUAGUAGUCUAUUUUCCUCUGCUUAAAAAAAAAAUUUAAGUAUAUCCUUUAAAAGACCGGGGGUUUGCUCAAAAGGAAAUCCAAAACCUAUUCAAUUUGCAUUUAUAUAAUUUUCCUGUUUAACAACAAGAAUGUGACCUAAAUGCUUUUGUCUUGUCACUGAAAUAAAAGAUGGCAUUAUGUGGUUAAGAGCAUGGGGCGAGGGGUCAGACAUGAGUUUAAGGUUCUGCCCUUACUCCAGUGUGUGACCCUUGGCAAGUCAGUUAAUCUUGGUAAACCUCAGUGUACUUAUCUUUAAAAUGGGAGUAAUA